UAGGGAAUCUUCCACAAUGGACGCAAGUCUGAUGGAGCAACGCCGCGUGAGUGAAGAAGGUUUUCGGAUCGUAAAGCUCUGUUGUUGGUGAAGAAGGAUAGAGGCAGUAACUGGUCUUUAUUUGACGGUAAUCAACCAGAAAGUCACGGCUAACUACGUGCCAGCAGCCGCGGUAAUACGUAGGUGGCAAGCGUUGUCCGGAUUUCUUGGGCGUAAGGCGAGCGCAGGCGGAAUGAUAAGUCUGAUGUGAAAGCCCACGGCUCAACCGUGGAACUGCAUCGGAAACUGUCAUUCUUGAGUGCAGAAGAGGAGAGUGGAAUUCCAUGUGUAGCGGUGGAAUGCGUAGAUAUAUGGAAGAACACCAGUGGCGAAGGCGGCUCUCUGGUCUGCAACUGACGCUGAGGCUCGAAAGCAUGGGUAGCGAACAGG
rnacentral:rRNA from 1 species